CGGUGGGACCCGAGCAGUGCGAAGACAUUAGGAAGACCAGGUCCCACAGAAUUAGCCACGUGAGGAACCCAAGCACCACUGUCCCCAGGUCCGGGGGCCAACCUGAGGACUGCAGGCUCCCCCAGGGAAGGUCCCUGCCCAGCACGGAGGAGAGAGUUCUACCUGAGGACCUCGGUGGCACCGAAGGCACGCUGAGCAUCGCCCAGGGCCUGUCCAGGGAGGGUGGUGGCUGGGUGGGCACUGGCAGGCUACCACCCUCAGUCUUGGUGUCCGGUGAGUUCAGGGCCCCGCUGGUCAGCCAGAGAAUGGUCCCAUUCUCCGGAGGGGUGCUGGAUGGCCCAGGGAGGGUGAGGGGGUCUGUGGAGGUUGCAGGUGCCAGAGUCCCCAUCUUGGAAGCAUUCUCAGUGGGGGUGGUAUCAUCCCACAGCUGGACGAAGCUCCGGAUGCCCAUGGCCACGUUCAGGAUCUUGGCACCAACGCCAGCAAUGUUCUCCUCCUUCGUGUCUGGGCUCGCAUUAGAGGCAGGAGGGGAAGUGGAGGCCUUGCCCUGGCCAUCUUCCAGCUCCUCCAGGGGUGGCCCAGGGCUGGCAGAAGCUGUCCCCUGCUCGGUGGGGCUGUCCUGCAGGCCCACACGUGUGGUGAUACCUUCUGUGGGCUGUACAGGUGGGCUGCCCAGGGGCACAGAGACCAGCGAGGCUGCGUUCUCAUUCGUCUGAUUGGACGACCACAGCCAGGUCAGCAGAUCAGCCCAGGAGGCGGUGAAGCAGCAGGCGAGCAGCAGCAGCUGCAGCGGCAAGCUGAGGCGGCCGCUGGGGUCGGGAGCCAUCAGGGCUGUGUGCUCCGCAAAGAGGAGGGUGGGCGGGAGUCUGCUGUCCGGGAGGUGGGGCCAGCCCGGAUUCCGCCCGGCCCGCCCACGGCUUGUAGCCAGCUACCCCAUUCAUGUCUCCAAGCUGUUCUGUCUUCUGCCUUUUCACUCUCACAGAAGAAAAAAAGGCAAACUCCUAAAUCAAGGUGACAGGCACUCUUGGGAACUUCUCACACCUCCUUAGAGCAGCCACAGAUGCCAAGAGGCCAAGUGGACAUCUAAGCACAUUCAGAGAAUUCCCAGCUUCCUGGGCCGUGAGCUGGAGAGGCCUCGCUGCCUCUCACCAGACCGCUGCCGAUCCCUGCGCUGGCUCACCUCUGGGCCAGCACCCUGACCCACAGGGCAGCUUCGGAGAGGACUCUCUCUCUUCCUGGCCCUGUAGCCUGGGUGCCCUCCACAGAGCCCAACUCCAAAGAAGACGCCUGGCAUAGCCCCCCUGGGGUGUCUGCUCUGGACACGGCUGGGACCCGCAGGACGCUGAGGCGGCGGCCCCCAGCACCACUUGCCCACCACCCUCUGCAUCCAGAGCCACUGCAGGCCCCAGCCCCUCUUGUCCACCAUGCUCGGAGCCGCUGCUGCUGAGGACGGUCGGGGAAGCCUGGCCUGGGGCCACCGCCCUGCUAUAAAACUGAAACUUGUUGCGAGUCCAAUUCUUCUGCUGGAACUGUUGAUUCUGAGACGUUCAACAUGAAGGAAGACCUGUGAGGGACCUGCGCUCCCACCCGAUUAGGGAUGCUGGUCCUCAGCUUGCUGGCCCUCCUACCCCUCUCGCUGACACUGGGCUGUUCCUGGCCCAUCUCACCCGAGACCACACCCCGGGCUCAAGCACUGGUGACACAUGGCCUUCAGUAACACCCCAGACUCCUUUCUCAUUGGUUAGACAGUCUCUCUCAGGCGCUGAUCCUGCUCGUACCACUGUGAUCGGCCUCUCGGAGUCUGGCAGGGUUUUGUGAGUUAACUCUUGAGAACUACUGGAAGGAAAGCACAGCGGCACUGGGGUAUCGACACUGAGGGAAAGCGGGGUGUCAUGGAAUGUACGGAGACCGAUGUUGCCAUGACAGCAGGUCCCACGCAGACGUCCUCUCCCGCCACCCCCAUCCUCCAGGUCUCAGUCUGUUUGAUGGAGCGGGGACUGUGAGCUUGCCCAAGGCCAAGAGAUGGCGCUGGAGAGGGAGCCCUGCCCACAGCGCAGAUGCCAGCCCGGUGCGGGCCAGGCCCUGCCUUCUCACAGCUCUGGCUUCAGCAGGUGCCUCUGCCGAGCCACGUCUCAGGCAGUGACGGGACCUGCGCGUUGACUGGCACUGCUCCAGAGGGCGCCGGCCAGGCCAGUGUGCAGCUGGGCAGUUCCCAUUGUGUCCUGACUCCUUCCCUUGAUACAACCUCGGAUAACACUUUCUUUGUCCAAGACACUGGAAGGAUGCCACCCUGUGGCCGUAAGUCCUGCCAGUGCCUGCUGUGGGGCUGCUUCCAUACUGCGUGUGCUGGCGUCCAUCUUUGAUUACAGUCAACACCCCCCCUAUGCUGCCAGGUGGACCCCGAUGCCCAGCACCUACACUCUGUGCUGCCCAGCCGGAGUGGGGGCCCCAGCCCUGGGCAGCAGCAGGAGCACAGAGGCCGCCCUGGGGGUCAGGCCGCUGGCCCAGAGCCCUAUCCUCACACUCGUCAGCACAGAGGGGUGGUGAGGCCCCUCCAGCUCACAGCCCAGGGACCCCUGGUUGGACAAAAACUGCUCUGAGCUCUUCCCCAGCAGGGCUGUCUGUACAGGACAGACAUGCCACAGCCUACCAGAUGCAGCCAGGACGAGGAACUGAGGAGCCGUGCUGUGCAGGAGGGACAGCAGCUGCUGCCCGGUGGGGGGCAGGCUACCCAGGAGGGCAGCCGGGGCCCUGCCACCCUGAGCCAACCUUGCGACCCAGCAGGGCAUCCCUCCACGUGAAUACUCCAGACCACGGCCCCCUGCCCACCUCUGGGGCCACGGCCACCUCUAGCCACUAGCAGAGUAUCACAUGCCUGCAGAGCUGCCUGGUGACUGUCACGAGCAGCUGGAGGAGCACACCCAACAGCUGCCCCAGGGCCCUGAGAUAUUAUCAAACAGUGAGGGGGAUUUGAAUGUUAGAGGAGCAUUCUGGGACUGGGGGGAGACAACGUAAAUGGCACUGUGAGUCACUGAGAGUCACGGGGUGGCUGCCACUUUUGUGGGGUUCUGAGAACGUCCUUGGAAGGACCCAAUCAAACACUCACUGUGCCUGGUGGGGGCCACUGACCCCAGCAAAGUGCCUGCCAGCCCCUCACCCAGAGACGACCUCCUUACAUGCCUGAAAUACCUUCCCCUCCACGGCUCCCGGCCCCAGCCUGCUGACACUGUCCACCCGAUAACCCACCCCCGGGCUCUCCAUGUGCGCACACGUGUGUCUAUGUGGGGACACGUGCAUCUAUGUUUGGACACGUCUCUGUGCACAUGUGUGUGGCACUGUGUGCGUACACAUGUGUGCACACAUGUGGUGUGUUUUCUGUGUGCAGGUACAUGUGUGUUGUCUGUGCCUGCACACUCCCAUUCAUUUCCAUGCAGUUUUCUUGGGAUUCCUGGAGGCCUGGGAGGUUCCAGGUCCAACAAGGGAAGCUCUGCCGGGCCAGGUUUGAUGUCACCCCCGGGCCUCCACAGAUGCGCGGCACAUGCGCUGGGGAUGAAGACUCUGUACCCGGAAGGCGAGCACACACCUCCGUCUGCAGAGCUCUCCCUGAAUGACUCCCAAGUCCUCAGCCUCCUAAGUGCUUCUGAGCCCUCUUGGCCCCCUCAGCACGCCCAGCCCUCUUGGGUGUGCUGACCCUGGUCUUCCACAUGCCCGUCCUGGUCCUGGUCCUGUGUCCCAAUUCAGGGUCCCACACUAAAUCUUAUCCCUGUGCGUUAAUUCUUUACCUCGAAGGGCCAUACUUUCCUUCAUUCAUUCAACAAAUUUGUAUUGAACUCCUAGUGUGUGCCCAGCCCUGCUCUGGGCACUGAACUGCAUCAGCCGCAGUGCAGGGAAAGCCUCCACGAAGUGGACAUGGCAUCAGGUGGGGGAGGGCAGAGGACACAGGGGUGGCCGCCCCAGUCCAGGACGUGGGACCGGGGGAGGGACCUCUCGGAAGAUGAUGACAAGCGGCAGCAACACGUCCCCCCAUCCCCCCUGGGAAGCAGGUUCCCCACCAAGGGACACCACGUUCCUAUGUGGUGACACGACCUUUCCCUGGGAAGGGCCAGACACCCACUUGGACACCCAGGAGGGGCACAGACGCCCUGCAAGCCAGCAGAAAAGAAGGUCCCUCUUCUAGGACCGGCAUCUCUCCAGUGUCCCCACGAGACCCGCUUCGCAGAUUCUUUACUAGGUGCAGAGUGUCGGUGUCCUGUCCGUGAACAAGGCCACACGAUGGGGCACACAGGGGACGGCAUUUCUUUCAAAUAAAGGUGCUUGACCCAGGCAGUUAAUAUUUGACCGGUGUUUUUACUGGAGCUUCCCAGAACCUGGCAC